GAUGAAGAACGUAGUGAAAUGCGAUAAUUAAUGUGAAUUGCAGAAUUCCGUAAAUCAUCGAGUCUUUGAACGCACAUUGCGCCUCAUGGCAUUCCGUGAGGCAUGCCCAUCUCAGCGUUAGAAAAUAUUCUCAAAUUUUAGUUUUGUGCUAAAAUUUGGAUCAUGUCAAAGAAGCUAUUACUAUUAUUGUGAUCGCUCUUUGGAAAUUGAUAGGUCUUUGAGUUGCUACUCAUAGAACGUGAUGAAUCUUUCUUCGUUCUAUUGUAAUUCACUCUGGUAGUCCUAAAACUUGUAUGCCUGUGGCAUAUCUUGUAAUUUGACCUGAGAUUGGGUAGGGAUACCCGCUGAACUUAAGCAUAUCAAUAAGCGGAGGA
rnacentral:misc_RNA from 1 species